AAGGCGUAGUACACGUAUCUACGGCUUCCUUUCUUUCUUUUCUCUUUCGACCGAGUGUUCCAGUGGGGUUCGAGCGGCGUGCUGGGACGCACAAGCUUCGUUGCACUUCUCCUUGCAUUGUACGCAUACACGCAAGUGGCGCAGCGCCUGUGGAAUUUUCAAUGCCGCGCCCUUAUUCUGAUCUCCAGAAGUCGGGCUCCGUUUCUACUGCCGUGUACUCGAUGCCGCCCGUCCAUCGGCUCGUGGUAGCGUGCACUUCUGCUGUAUUCGCGUUGGCCCUCCUGACGCAGCGCUACCAUCUACGUCUGUACGGUCAAACCAUCUCCACAGUGCACACAGAGGACGACACGCAGGUGACCUGGGAUCUUUGCCACCGAUUUUUUCAGAUUGCCCGGAUCGCCCUGCCAACGUGGCGCUGCCGUGAGAGCGCCGGUUCCGUCAUCUUCAUCCUGCUGUUUGCCGUCAAAGCCGUUCUGCGCGUGUGGGUGUCCAAGGCGAAUGGUGAGGUGCUGGCCGCCAUGCUGCACGGCGUGCCGUCGGAGCGGCUGCCGCGGUUCGUGAGCAAAGUUAUAGCUCGCAUUGCCGUGGGCCUUACCGCUGGCAUGACGAACGGCGCCAUUGAAGGCCUGCGACCGUGGCUGAUUGGGUGCUAUCGCGAGCGCCUCAGUAGCACCUUUCAGCGGCGCUUCUACAACCGUCUUGUGUACUACCAGGGAACCAUGCUGGACAGCCGUCUGGAGGCGGCCGACACAGCCAUCUCGACCUACUGUGGCGAGUUCGCCGAGCACUUCGCGGAGCUGCCGUACUACUUUGUGCUGCCUGCGCUGGGGUGUGUGACGUCUAUGGCGGCGCUCGUGGAGCAGGCGGGAUUGAAGUCGGCCCUCAUGAUGAGCAGUAUCGCCACCACCGCAGUGUUUGUGCUGCGCCGUGCCGCUCCAGCAUUGGGCCGUAUCCACUCCCAGCUGCUCUCGCGCGAGGAUGACUACCGCCGCAUGCUCACAAACUACUUGAACAACGUGGAGAGCAUUGCCAUGCACGGCGCCGGUAAGUACAUACUCAGGCAGCUGGACAUCUCGCUCGCGAAGCUCAAGGAGUCGCUCGAUCACAUGGCCCUCGCGAAGGGCAACUUCGAGAUGAUGGAGUCAGCUUUCUCGACCUUCAUGACGGUAGUGGCGCAGUGCGUCACCUUCGCCGGGGCGCGCCGCUCGCCCUACCAUCGCUCGAUCAACGCCGUCUACCUCGAGAUUCAGCUAAUUGAGGAUCUCAACUCCAGCGUGAAGGACUUCGUCGUGAACUUUCGCGAGCUCUCGCACUUGACGGAGUUUGCGACGAAGAUGUCGGGGUUUGACAAUACGCUGGAGAGCAUCGCGGCCGGCACCUUCAUUCACUCUCGCCAGAACACCAACUACGCGUCUCUGCCCGGUGCACCGCUCGUGUACACGCAGAUGAAGAGCAUCGCCCACGCUCCCGAUGCGAAGACGUUCCCGCUUGUCAAGAUGGAGCACGUCGUGCUGGAGUCGCCGGCAGGGCAGCAGCUGUUCUCUAACAUGAGCGUGGAGUUCCGCAGCGACGAGGACUGGGUUAUUAUCGGCGAGAACGGCUGCGGCAAGACCUCGCUGUUGCGCAUGCUGUGCGGCUUGUGGAUGCCAAAGUCCGGCGUGCUCUCCCAAGACACAUCUGUGCGCUUCUUGUUGUCGCCACAGCACAGCUACAUGGCUCCACAGUGCACCUUGUACGAGCAGAUCUGCUUCCCCGAUGCCGUAGAGGCGCCGACGCCGGAGAUUCGCGCUGCCAUCAGUGAGGCUGUAGAAAUGGCUGGUGCGCAGACGGUCGUGUGCGUCAUUGGUGGCUACGACAGCGCCGUCAUGGGCCUUGACCUGAGCAACACCGAUGAGUCGUACGACUGGAGCAGCCUCAGCGGUGGUCAAAAGGAGCGCAUCAGCAUGGCACGCGUCUUCUUUCAUGUGCUGCGCAUGGAUCGUACAAAGGAGACGCCCGUGGCCAUUCUAGAUGAGGCAACGUCCAUGAUGGACGACACGGAGCAGGAUGUGCUCAACCACCUGCGCCGCAUGAAUGUGCGCAUGAUCUCCGUCACCCACCGCGACGUCGUUAUUCGGCACCACACAAACAUCCUCCGCAUCGUCCACGGCGGCAAGUGGACAGUGGAGAAGGUGCGCAAUCCGGUGAAGAUCGGCGAACGUGUCGAGACGGAGAAUGCAGUUGUGUAGACGCAGACGUGGGACAGAUGGCAGCCGCGACGUGCUGUAUAUUGCGAUUAGAGGAGAGACGGUAAAGCCGGUGAGGAGUGCGUUCGCUUUCCCCACUCGUCAUAGCACGCACUGACAGUCACGACGGCUUUGCUAUCCUCUGUACUCUCUUUCCCAAGGCCUCCCCCUUCCCGUCGGCAACGCAGCACACACACACACACACACACAUGUCGAAGGUGCGCGCGCGCUUUACUGCUUCAACGUCCACGACUCGGUCGCGGCACACCGGCUGCUGUUGUUUCGCGUUGCUAACUCGUCUUCCCUUUGCCGCUGUGGUGCGAUGUCUCUGCGUUCUUUGAUGUUUGCUUUUGCUGUUGUGAGGUUGUGAGAGAGUCGGCCAUCACUCCCCUCUGCUCUCUCCGUUGUCUUGCUUUCUGCUUUCUUGUUUACGUCUCUUCGCUGCUCUCUUUGUCGUGGCGUGUGUGUGGGGUGGGUGGGCGGACGGUAGGGGACGCCAACGCGAUUGUUUGGCUCGCUACCGCCCUUCUCUCGCCUUUGCCCCCUCCCUCUCUUCCUCUUUCUCGGACCUCAGAGGAGCGAGGGCAGGAAAUAGCUCCACAUACAUGCCACUCGCAGGCAGGCAUGUGCAUUGUCACGCAACGCCCGCAUCCACUUACAUAAACCCGUCCCCCUUCCCCUCCCCACUGAGAAUAGCCCAGCGCAGAUAACUUGCAUGAGCACAGCCCUUUUUCUCCCCCUUUUUCCUCCACCACCGUCGUGUUUUGCUUUCUUGUUUUUUUUUUUCGUUUCAGUUUAGAGGUUUUUAUGGGUUGGCCUCCCUUCCGUUGUUCACGCCAGACGUCUCUCGCUCCCCCUCCCCCUUCCUUCCUCCCCGCACCGCCACCAACAGCAGCAGCAAAGAACAUACGCACACACACACACACGUUCAUGUGCGUGCCGCUGGUUUUUCUUUUUCUCUUUUUCCCUCCCUUCAAAUUUUUAUUACUACUUACGUGUUCUGUGCCCGCGCACAGGCGUGUGUGCGUGCGUGUGUCUACCUUUGCCCCUCUCCUUCCUGUGUGCUAGUGGCUGUGUUCCUGACUCUCCCUUCACCUCAUGUAUCCCUAUCUUCCGCACACGCGCACACGCUCUGCCACUGCUGCCUUCCGUUGCUUAUCUUCCCCCCUUGUCGCUGUUUUCCAUUGUUGGUGGUGGGUGGCUUCGUGCCUCCGUGCAGAUGUGUCUUAUUUUUUUUUUUUUAGCUGCUCUUCGCCUUUUUCUUUGUCGUCUCGGUGGUGAGCAGAGGCGCAUCAAAAAAGAAAAAGGGAAGAGAGAUCGGUGCAGAUUUGCUGCACGAUAAGUGUGGGUGCAAAGGGCUUCCGUUCGCAGAGCUCGAUUAUCGGCGCGCGGCCUGUGAGCGACCAGAGUAGAGCUGAGCGGAACGGGAAGAAGACGAUAAAGGAGGGAUGCAUGGGUGCUGGCAAGAGUCGUACGUCUACCUUUCUUUCUGGCAGGAGGUGCAAUCAUCUUGCACUCUCGUGCGGAUGUGUGUGUUGGUUUCUCUGCAUGCUGAUGGGCUGCCGUGGUGUGCCACUGGCUGCCAUAUCAAUGAACAUCUCCAUUGACCGGGCAGCGCGACUCCCGUUUUACUUCACCCUGUUUUCUCGCUCGCCGCUCUCGUCUGUGGCCGGUCUCUAUGACGUUUUACAUCGGUAG
rnacentral:misc_RNA from 1 species